rnacentral:tRNA from 1 species
AAGAUACUAGUAAAACUGAAAAUUACACUGCUUUGUCAAGGCAGAAUUGCAAGUUAAAAUCUUGCGUACCUUA